rnacentral:rRNA from 1 species
GACGAACGCUGGCGGCGUGCCUAACACAUGCAAGUCGAACGGAAAGGCCCCUUUGGGGGUACUCGAUCGGCGAACGGGGGAGUAACACGUGAGUAACCUGCCCUUGACUUCGGGAUAACUUCAGGAAACUGGGGUUAAUACUGGAUAGGAAUCCCUGCAGAUUGGUGGGGGUUGGAAAGCUUCGGGGGUUUUGGAUGGACUCGCGGCUUAUCAGCUUGUUGGUGGGGGAGUGGCUUACCAAGGCUUUGACGGGUAGCCGGCCUGAGAGGGCGACCGGCCACAUUGGGACUGAGAUACGGCCCAGACUCCUACGGGAGGCAGCAGUGGGGAAUAUUGCACGAUGGGCGGAAGCCUGAUGCAGCAACGCCGCGUGCGGGAUGACGGCCUUCGGGUUGUAAACCGCGUUCAGCAGGAGCGAAGCUUGUGAUGACGGUACCUGCCGAAGAAGCACCGGCUAACUACGUG